CAGCCGCCGCGGUAAUACGUAGGUGGCAAGCGUUGUCCGGAAUUAUUGGGCGUAAAGCGCGCGCAGGCGGUCUCUUAAGUCUGAUGUGAAAGCCCCCGGCUCAACCGGGGAGGGUCAUUGGAAACUGGGAGACUUGAGUGCAGAAGAGAAGAGUGGAAUUCCACGUGUAGCGGUGAAAUGCGUAGAGAUGUGGAGGAACACCAGUGGCGAAGGCGACUCUUUGGUCUGUAACUGACGCUGAGGCGCGAAAGCGUGGGGAGCAAACAGGAUUAGAUACCCUGGUAGUCCACGCCGUAAACGAUGAGUGCUAAGUGUUAGAGGGUUUCCGCCCUUUAGUGCUGCAGCUAACGCAUUAAGCACUCCGCCUGGGGAGUACGGCCGCAAGGCUGAAACUUAAAGGAGUUGGCGGG
rnacentral:rRNA from 1 species